GCCGGGGUGCCCGAGCGGUCUAAGGGGCUGGCCUGGAGAAUAUUCCCCGGUCAGCCAGUGCCCCUUCCGGGGCGCGCGGGUUCGAAUCCCGCCCCCGGCG
rnacentral:tRNA from 1 species